UUUCCGUAGGUGAACCUGCGGAAGGAUCAUUAAUGAGAACGUGCCCUUCGGGGUAGAUCUCCCACCCUGUGUUUACACUACCUUUGUUGCUUUGGCAGGCCCGCCCUCGGGCCGCCGGCUCCGGCUGGCCAGCGUCUGCUAGAGGAUUCAAAACCCUUUGUUUUUUUUGCCGUCUGAGUACUAUACAAUAGUUAAAACUUUCAACAACGGAUCUCUUGGUUCUG
rnacentral:misc_RNA from 1 species